CCGGAGCCAGAAGCAUUAUGUGCCAGAGCCUGUGAAAGGAACCAGUAUGAAAUUGUGGUUGCUGGAAGAGGAAUGCAAAUGGUUGAGUUCUUGGCAUCCUAGUCAUGGAUGUUACAAUUGGUACUGGCAAUUCUGUGUGAUUCCAAUCGAAGGUUUUGACAUUGAAGUUAAUUAUGUAGUAUGUACUGGCGCAUAUUAUUCUUGCUCCUUUUUUAACGGCCCUAGUGCUGUUACUCGUUCCUGAC
rnacentral:misc_RNA from 1 species